ACUAAAUUAUUUUUUAAUUUAGAGAGUCUCUUAUGGUUUGUGGAGACCUUGUUUCCUAUCGGGGUGGGGGCCAGGCGGGAUUGAGUGGCCACAGACACUGUGAAGUCAGAUAGAGAUAAACACUCCGAAGAAAUACAAUAGGGUUGUGAGAGAGGGAGAGAGUUGUAGGAGACUGGGGAGAGUGGUGGCUGAUUUGGGAAGGUGGUCAGGGAGAGCCUGUGGCACGGGCACAUUAGAAUGUUCUGCUCCCCACCCCCCGCCAGGAAGGGAGAGGUCUCUGUUUGUUGCAGUAAACAGCCCUCAUCUGGUCUCUUGCAGCCUGUUUCUCCCGGGCAGCGGGGGUUCCUGGGAGUCCACAGGGGCCUUCAGGGACUCCCGUGUGUCUCCACUGGUGGAGGCCCUGCCCUCAGUGGCUGCUGCUCAGGAGGGUGGUGGCGUGUGUGGCUUCCGACUGUGGCCGUGACCGAGUGACGUGUCUGAGGGCUCGGGACGGUGUCUCUGGGCAGUUUGACCUGGGGAUUUGGAAGGUGACAGAUGUGGGGGGCCGGGACAGGGGAGGAAGACAAGAGGGAGGCCGUCCCCGGCCGGUGACAGAGACUGAGGUGACCUACCGCCACACUGAGCUGGCAGAUGUGGGGCCAGGCUGGGCGCCUAUACAUGGUUCCUUGAUCCUUUCCAAGAGCUUGUCUUGUCGAGGGGCUUGUCCGAUCCUGUCUGUUUCCUGUGCCUCUCCUUCCUCCGCCCUCCCCUCCCUGGCACUUGUCGGCGGGCUGGGAGCAGGUGGCCAGGGGGGCGGUGAGCCCCCUGGGACAGCGGGCCCAUCCUUGCCGGGGGUGCUGCCUCCGCUCUACAGGCUGACCUCACCUCCUGGGUUGUCUUGGGAGAAUCCUGGCAGCCUCUUCCUCUGUCCCUUAGAGCUGGGCUUUACCUCUGGGACCUUUCCAGAAAACCACUAGGAGUUCAGGAAGGAGUCUAUACCCCUCCCUCUGUUUCGUGGGGCUCCUCUGCCUUUGCAUCCCAUCCCCCUACCCCCCCAGCUGGGGCAUUUGAGGCUCUCACCUUAGCCAGACAGCUUCUCAGUCACCCAAAACGGCAGUGCUGCGGAGGAAAGGUUCCUCAAAACGUUGAUUCAUUCAUUUAUUCCGCCCACAUUUGCUGAGCUCUCCGUUGUCAUGUCCUUGCUGUACUGUUGUGUUUUUAAUGUUUAUUUAUUUUUGAGCGCACAAGCAGGGGAGGGGCAGAGGGAGGGGGACAGAGGAUCUGAAGAAGGCUCUGCGGUGACAGCAGCGAGUGGGAUGUGGGGCUCAAACUAACAAACCUUGAGAUCGUGAAUCGGAAUCAAGAGUCGGACACUUAACCUACUGAACCGCCCAGGUGGCCCUAAAAUAAAAUCUUAAAAAAAAAAAAAAAAAAAAAGAAUGAAUAGAUAAACAAAUGUGGUCCCUCCAUACUAUGGACUAUUAUUUGGCCAUAAAAAGGAAUGAAGUUCUGACACAUGCUCCCACGUGGAUGAACCUUUAUGUUCAAACACAUUAUGUUCAAACACAUUAUGUUCAAAGCCAACCACAAGAGGCCACUAUUGUGACGUCAUUUACAUGAAAUAUUCAAUACAGGCAAAUAGAGACAGAAAGUGGAUUAGUAGUUGCCAGGGGCCCAGGAGGGGGAAAUGGGGAGUGACUGCCUUUUUUUUUCUUUUUUUAAGUUUUUUGUUUAUUUUGAGAGAGAGAGCACGCGCGCCAGUGGGGGAGGGCAGAGAGAGAGGGAGGGAGAGGGAGAAUCCCAAGUAGGCCCCGAGCUGUCAGCGCAGAACUGGACGCGGGGCUCGAACUCAAGAACCCUGAGAUCAGGACCUGAGCAGAAACCAAGAGUCAGUGCUCAAUAGGCUGACUCACCCAGGCACCCCGGGAGUGACUGCUUAACGGGUCCAGAUUAUUCCUUGGCGAGGCAGGGGGCUCAGAGGCGGGGCGGUGGGCAUAUUCUAGAACUAGAUAGUGGCAAUGGUUGCACAACAUUGUGAGAGUCCCACGUGCCGCUGAGUCAUACGCUUUACAGUGGCUAAGGGUUAAUUUUAUGGUCUCUGAAUUUUAUCACAAUUAAAAAAACAGAAGGAAGUCAGCAAGCUGGAAGUGUUUCACGCUUCUGCUCUGGCUUCAAAUGAAAGGAUCUACAGGGGUGGGUGGUGGGAGGCAGUGCUGCGCAGGAGUGAGGGGAAGGAGCCUGCCCCGUGCUAGGCCCUGCUCCUGCAGGAGCCUGAGGCUUCCCUCCUCCCAGACCCGUCUGCACAAGUGGAGGUGGCCUGGCCUUCGGCCUGUGUGUGUGUGGGGGGUGCAUCGCGGGUGCCGGCCCCCUUGGAGCUCCUCAGAAACCGAGUCAUUGACCUUCCGGCUGCAGCCCACAAACCAGCAUAUGAUUGCACAUCGGCUAUUUCUCCCUCCAACGGAAAUGAACAGCCAGGUGCGCUGUUUGAAGCUCUGCCCGCCGGGAGGCUGGGAGGAUUGCCCUUCACAACUGUCCUUCCAGGGUGUCCUGGGAAGGGACAGAGGUACUGCCGCUCCCUGCUUCCAGCGGCUGCCCGCGCCUCGUGCCGAACCAUCUGUAGCCGGAGCCUGAAUGUUCUCUGAUCCUAAGGAACCCCCAUGAAGCUAUGGGUGCAGGAUGGGAGACAGAAGGACUCUGUACCACGGGACCUUUUGCUUAUAGCAAUGUGGGUCUAUGUUAUCUUUUAAAAAAAUUUUAAUCUUCAUUUAUUUUUGAGAGAGAGAGAGAGAGCGAGCGCCAGAGUGCGAGUGGGGGAGGAACAGAGAGAGAGGGAGACACAGUAUCUGAAGCAGGCUCCAGGCUCUGAGCCGUCAGCACAGAGCCCGUUGCCGGGCUCGAACUCACGAACCCGCGAGAUCGUGACUGGAGCCGAAGUCGGAUGCUUCGCCGACUGAGCCACCCCAGGCGCCCCUCUAUUAUCUUCAUGAUGCUAUCUUUUUAAAACCCCGGAUCAUCCUUCCAGACUCCCUGCUAUGGUAUUAGAAGGAGCAGAUGUGGGGCAAGAGGUGGUGUUGGAACCAUCCGCAGCCCUCAUUUGCUAAAUGCAGCCUGCUGCCUGUUUCUGCACAGCCUGCGAGUUGAGAAUGGCCUUUUCGUUUUUAAAUGGUUGGGGAAAAAAAAAAAAAAAACAACCCACCAUGAUGUGAAAAUUAUAUGCAGUUCAGAUUUCAGUAUCCAAGGGGGUUGGAGGGAUAGGACAGAUGUUGUUUAAGGGUACAACCUGGCAACGAGUAGAAAAUAAGUCCUGAAGAGCUAACGCAGGGUAGAGUGGAUAUAUACAACAAUAUCAUAACCAUCAGAUUUGUUAAGAGACCAGAACCGUUGAUCGUUGCAACUCCGACCAGGAGAUGAUAAUUCCACGAUGCGAUACGGGUGCUAGUUAUCGCUCCGAUGGCAAUCGUAUUCCAACAGCUAAAUGCAUCAAAUUCACAUCUCGGACUCCUCGAAUUCACACGGUGUUCCCUGGCAAAUGUAUUUCCGUGGACUAACUCCGUGUCCGCAGAUAAAGUUUUAUCGACACACAGCUGCGCUCGUUCAUUUCCCUGUCGGCUGUGGCGGCCUUUAUUCGAAGUGGCAGAGUUGAAUCAUUGCAACGGAGACUGCCUGCCUGGCCCCUCGAAGCCGAAAAGAAAAAAUACUUCCUGUCUGGCCUUCCCCCCGCAAGAAGUUUGCAGACCCCUGCUCUACAGGGCCUGAGAACCGAGCGUCAACCCGCCUCGGACUCAGGGCUUCCGGGGAUGUUUCCUCAGUGCACAGGUCUCUUGAUGUGCUUUGUGCCUCCUCCAUGUGACCGUGAGCCCAUGAGAUAUGGACAGUGCCCGUCUUACUACUGUGCAUGCCCUCACUGCUCCUGGACCUGUGCCCGACACACAACUGGUGUUCAACAUACAGGGGAGGGACUGGCAGAAAGCAGGGAGUGGUCAGCCGUCGGGGG